rnacentral:rRNA from 1 species
GACGAACGCUGGCGGCGUGCUUAACACAUGCAAGUCGAGCGAGGCCCCUCCUUCGGGAGGGUGUCCUAGCGGCGAACGGGUGAGUAACACGUGGGCAACCUGCCCUCAGCUCUGGGAUAACUCCGGGAAACCGGGGCUAAUACCGGAUACGACCUCCACGGGCAUCUGCGGAGGUGGAAAGUUUUUCGGCUGAGGAUGGGCCCGCGGCCUAUCAGCUAGUUGGUGGGGUAGUGGCCCACCAAGGCGACGACGGGUAGCCGGCCUGAGAGGGCGACCGGCCACACUGGGACUGAGACACGGCCCAGACUCCUACGGGAGGCAGCAGUGGGGAAUAUUGCGCAAUGGGCGAAAGCCUGACGCAGCGACGCCGCGUGAGGGACGAAGGCCUUCGGGUUGCAAACCUCUUUCAGCAGGGACGAAGCGAAAGUGACGGUACCUGCAGAAGAAGCACCGGCCAACUACGUG